rnacentral:misc_RNA from 1 species
UGGUUCUGGCAUCGAUGAAGAACGCAGCGAAAUGCGAUAAGUAAUGUGAAUUGCAGAAUUCAGUGAAUCAUCGAAUCUUUGAACGCACAUUGCGCCCCGUGGUAUUCCGCGGGGCAUGCCUGUUCGAGCGUCAUUUAGACCAAUCAAGCCUCGGCUUGGUCUUGGGGUUUGCGGUUCCGCAGCCUCUAAACGCAGUGGCGGUGCUAUUGAGCUCUGAGCGUAGUAAGUCUCCUCGCUAUAGAGUCUCGGUAGUUGCUUGCCAACAACCCCCAACUUAUUAAGGUUGACCUCGGAUCAGGUAGGGAUACCCGCUGA